rnacentral:rRNA from 1 species
UACGUAGGGUGCAAGCGUUGUCCGGAAUUAUUGGGCGUAAAGAGCUCGUAGGCGGUCUGUCGCGUCUGCUGUGAAAACUCAGGGCUUAACCCUGAGCUUGCAGUGGGUACGGGCAGACUAGAGUGCGGUAGGGGAGACUGGAAUUCCUGGUGUAGCGGUGAAAUACGCAGAUAUCAGGAGGAACACCGGUGGCGAAGGCGGGUCUCUGGGCCGUAACUGACGCUGAGGAGCGAAAGCAUGGGGAGCGAACAGG